GGACAACCAGGACAAACCUGGCCUUCCGUGGAAAGAGCAGCUCGGCCAGGAGAAGAUCCGUGAGAACAGAAGGACCCACAGGACUCCUGCGGAACAACCCCGGACCCCAGAAUCCCGGUCUUGUAUCUGGAACCACCUAUUCACACAAUCCUAGAGAGCAGCAACCCAGCGCAAGCCAGAAGGGCAAAAAAACCUCACAUUUGAUUUUGCUAAACCAGAAUGGAAGUGCUUCAGAUCCAGACAUAAAUGAAUGAAGAUGCAGUUCCACAGUGGAGGUGAGAAUGCCACUUACAGACAUUGUGUGCAGCUUGGAUUUUUACAGCAACCAGCAUUGAUAACUCUUGGGAGACAAAAUAAAACAAGCAGCCAGAUAGGUACUGUGCUAAGAAUGAUGCCUGUUCCGGUGAAAGGAUGGCGACAUCUGCAGAAUUGCAGUGGUACUGCAAUCCCCCUUGUCCUACUGUAUGCAGAAUGAAUUUUCAUUCUA